rnacentral:rRNA from 1 species
UGUUCUAACGUUGGCCCCUGACCGGGGUUGCGGACAGUGUCUGGUGGGUAGUUUGACUGGGGCGGUCUCCUCCCAAAGCGUAACGGAGGAGCACGAAGGUUAGCUAAUCCUGGUCGGACAUCAGGAGGUUAGUGCAAUGGCAUAAGCUAGCUUGACUGCGAGCGUGACGGCGCGAGCAGGUGCGAAAGCAGGUCAUAGUGAUCCGGUGGUUCUGAAUGGAAGGGCCAUCGCUCAACGGAUAAAAGGUACUCCGGGGAUAACAGGCUGAUACCGCCCAAGAGUUCAUAUCGACGGCGGUGUUUGGCACCUCGAUGUCGGCUCAUCACAUCCUGGGGCUGAAGUAGGUCCCAAGGGUAUGGCUGUUCGCCAUUUAAAGUGGUACGCGAGCUGGGUUUAGAACGUCGUGAGACAGUUCGGUCCCUAUCUGCCGUGGGCGCUGGAGAAUUGAGGGGGGCUGCUCCUAGUACGAGAGGACCGGAGUGGACGCAUCACUGGUGUUCGGGUUGUCAUGCCAAUGGCACUGCCCGGUAGCUAAAUGCGGAAGAGAUAAGUGCUGAAAGCAUCUAAGCACGAAACUUGCC